GGGAGGGAGAGAAGGGCCGUCGGGAUGAGGCUGUUUCCUUCCAAUAGAACCCCAUGCGGAAUAUUGAGAGCCGGAGCCAAGCAGAUCGUUCUGUUCCAUGAGCUCGGGGAUAAGCACGUGACCCAGUCUAACCCAAAGACUCACAAGGAGACUGACACUGGGAUCCCCGGAAGGUUCUUGCUGCUUCCUUCUUCUGGAAUCAGGAAGCCCAUGUGGCCCUGGAGCUCCUGGCCGCCAUCUUGUGAGAUGGGAAAAUGUGGGGCCAAUACAGAGGAGAGAGAAACCUCAUCCUUUUGUUCAGCUAGAGCCCUGCAUCCAGCUUUCCCUAAAGCCAGAUUUGAUUCACCUCUGGCUUAUGAUUCUGUCACGUAAGUCAUUAAUUCUUUCCUUCAAUUAGGUUUUUGGACCCAUGCAGCCAAAAUAGGCCUGUUGGAUCUAUGAGUGAAUGAAUGGAUGGACGGAUGAAGAACUAAGCUCCAGUUCAAGCCAAUGAGGAUGUUCAGUGCCUGCCACACAUCCACUCCAUCCCUCCUGAUUCCCAGCCUCCUGCCACUUCUCUGCCUCCUCCCUGCUCCUAUAACACACAGGUUCCUGAUCUCCCAGUGCAGACUCAAACAUCCCGUCCCCCAGAGUCCAGCCUCCCCCAACAGCAACUUAGCACAAUGCUCUCACAAACAAAAACAAUUUUCUCUCUAAUAGAGAUCCUAGGGGCCAUUGUUAAGGUUGUACUUUUUUUUUUUUUUCACUCUACUACAAAAGUUAAAACUAUUUCAGCUGCCAUUUAGGGAGCCCUACCUAUCAUACACCAAACAUUGCUCUGGGCCAGUAUUGCAGAUGGCGAAACUGAGGCUUGAAGAAGUUAAGUAACUCGCCCAAGAUCACACAACUUGAUCAUGGGCAGAAGAUCCAAAACCCCAAUGCCCAGAAUCUAUUUUUCCAUUUGAAAGACAAGUCCUCAGGCCGGGCGGGGUGGCUCACGCCUGUAAUCCCAGCACUUUGGGAGGCCGAGGCGGGCGGAUCACCUGAGGUCGGGAGUUCAAGACCAGCCUGACCAACAUGGAGAAACCCCGUCUUUAAUUUUGUAUUUGUAAAAAAUACAAAAUUACCCAGGCAUGGUGGCGCAUGCCUGUAAUCCCAGCUACUCGGGAGGCUGAGGCAGGAGAAUCGCUUGAACCCGGGAGGCGGAGGUUGUGGUGAGUCGAGAUCGCACCAUUGCACUCCAGCCUGGCUGACAAGAACGAAACUCUUGUCUCAAAAAAAAAAAAAGAAAAGAAAAGAAAGACAAGUCCUCACAUGGUGGCUUCUUGAUGGAGGACAGGGCGGGGCCCUUCCUGAGGCCAUGCUGUCCAGGGAAAUGUUCUACUCUGCUGGAAAUGUCCUCCAGCAGCACUGUCCGACAGGGGUGUCACUGUGGCUCUUGAGCACUUGCACUAUGACUAGUGUGACCAAAGAUCUGAACAUUUUAAAGUUUAUUUUUAUUAAUUUUAAUUUAGAUUUCAAUUACCACACGUGGCUAGUGGCUACCAAAUUGGGCAAUCCCACUUUACAAACUAUAUGUUGAUCUGAAUUAAGACUGAGCUUUGGCUGGGCAUGGUGCCUCAUGCCUGUAAUACCAGCACUUUGGGAGGCCGAGGCGGGCAGAUCGCCUGAGGUCAGGGGUUUGAGGCCAGCCUGGGCAACAUGGCGAAACCCCGACUCUACUAAAAAUACAAAAAUUAGCUGGGCGUGGUAGCAGGUGCCUGUAAUUCCAGCUACUCAGGAGGCUGAGGCAGGAGAAUCCUUGAAACCGAAGGUGGAAACUGCAGUGAGCCGAGAUCGCACCACUGCACUCCAGCCUAGGCAACAAGAGCGAAACUCCAUCUCAAAAAAAAAAAAAAGAAGAAGAAGACUGAGAUUUGCAUAGGGAAAAUAGAAACCUCAGUGUCUUGAGGAAGAAGGGGUCAAUCCCAGUCCCUCAUCAGAUCCAGUCGUGGUAGAGUGACGGCUCAUCUCUGGAAGCUCAACCUCCAUGUUUCCUCCCAGGACCUCACUCUACUCCUGGAGGGAGCCAUGCUCUGUCCUGCCUGGCCCAGGCUGGGCUCUCUGUCUAGAGGAGUCUCCAUCCUCUCUCCCCAGCCCAUUGACCUGGCUAACUCCUACUCAUCCUCAAGGUCUCAGCUGACAAAUUACUCUCACCAGGAAGCUGUCUCUGUCCCCUUGGCUGGGUCCACAGAGCACACCACCCUCUCUUUUGUAACACUCAGCACAAUUGUAACUAACAAUGUGUGAGCUGCUUGCACAGUGGCCAUCUCCUCUGCUUUCCUUGGGGACAGGCACAUACAUGUCUGCCUUGUCCAUCUCUGUAUCCUGAGCACCUAGCUCAGAGCUUAAUGCAUAUUAGAUUCUCAAGAAAUAUUUGUCUAAUGAAUGAAUCAGUCAAUUGAGCCAAAAAAUGGAAAUGCCAAAAGUUAAAUUCUCUGUAGUUCUUCUUGGACCUAGAUCAUGGGAAGAUAAAGUUUUUCUUUAAAGGACCAGAUACAGUGGUUCACACCUGUAAUCCCAGCACUUUGGGAAUCCGAGGCGGGUGGAUCACGAGGUCAGGAAAUCAAGACCAUCCUGGCUAACACGGUGAAACCCCAUCUCUAUCAAAAUACAAAAAAAUUAGCCAGGCACGGUGGCGGGCGCCUGUAGUCCCAGCAACUUGGAAGGCUGAGGCAGCAGAACGGCGUGAACCCGGGAGGCGGAGCUUGCAGUGAGCCGAAAUCGCACCACUGCACUCCAGCUUGGGCAACAGAGCGAGACUCCGUCUCAAAAAAAUAAAAAUAAAGUAC
rnacentral:lncRNA from 1 species